UACGGAGGGAGCUAGCGUUGUUCGGAAUUACUGGGCGUAAAGCGCGCGUAGGCGGUUACUCAAGUCAGAGGUGAAAGCCCGGGGCUCAACCCCGGAACUGCCUUUGAAACUAGGUGACUAGAAUCUUGGAGAGGUCAGUGGAAUUCCGAGUGUAGAGGUGAAAUUUCGUAGAUAUUCGGAAGAACACCAGUGGCGAAGGCGACUGACUGGACAAGUAUUGACGCUGAGGUGCGAAAACG
rnacentral:rRNA from 1 species